rnacentral:rRNA from 1 species
GAUGAACGCUGGCGGCGUGCCUAAUACAUGCAAGUCGAGCGAACAGACGAGGAGCUUGCUCCUCUGACGUUAGCGGCGGACGGGUGAGUAACACGUGGAUAACCUACCUAUAAGACUGGGAUAACUUCGGGAGACCGGAGCUAAUACCGGAUAAUAUAUUGAACCGCAUGGUUCAAUAGUGAAAGACGGUUUUGCUGUCACUUAUAGAUGGAUCCGCGCCGCAUUAGCUAGUUGGUAAGGUAACGGCUUACCAAGGCGACGAUGCGUAGCCGAUCUGAGAGGGUGAUCGGCCACACUGGAACUGAGACACGGUCCAGACUCCUACGGGAGGCAGCAGUAGGGAAUCUUCCGCAAUGGGCGCAAGCCUGAUGGAGCAACGCCGCGUGAGUGAUGAAGGUCUUCGGAUCGUAAAACCCUGUUAUUGGGGAAGAACAAAUGUGGAUGUAACCAUGCACGUCUUGACGGUACCUAAUCAGAAAGCCACGGCUAACUACGUG